UGACUCAGCAAAGAUGUUUCUAGCACAAGAAACUGAAUUAUAAAGGGGGAGAAAAAUGCUUGACCUCACUGUCUUCCUUCAUCUCUGCUCAUGACAUCAAUGACUCUCAAAGAACUGAACUUGGGAGGGGAGAGGCUAGAGUGCUGGCUGGGAGGCUUUUCAGCCAGUAGAGACUGCUAUAAGCUUAUGGUCACUUCUUUGCCUUGGAACCAUGGAGAAACCAUGCCUUCAGGUGGAGUAUUUCCAGGUUCGGGUGGCAGACCUGGCCUGCAUCCUGAGACAAGAGAUGUGGAAGAAGAGGAAGAGUGCAUGCUAAAAGCUUACUAGAGUUUACCUGCGACUCCAACACUAGGCUCAGAGCACAACCAUUAGCCAGGGGGCACUUGCAGCAGGCAGGUGCCACCCCGUUGUAAGAACUGAAAGAAAAGCAGGAUCACACCCGACCAGAAAGGGGGCGCCCAUCAGAGGUGGGUGCCACCCCAUUGGAAAAAACUAAGUGAUUGCAGGCCCACAUCGGCCAGAAUGGGGGGCACUCAUGAGAGGUGAGUGCUGAUGCCAUUGCACAACCCUACUCCUAAGGUCUGUGAAAGUAAAGAAGAAGAGAGGACUUUUGACAGAAAGAUUUAUUACUGCUCCAGAAUUUAGCAUUUUUGGCAGGAUGAGUAAAGUUUUUGAGAGCUCUCAUAUGAUGCAAGAUUCAACCAUCCUACCACCCAGCUCGCAACUGGGAAUGGGAAAGGCCCCUUCCCUCCUUACUCCCUAGGUAUUAAAAACAAACACACCAAAAAUCCAUAUGGCUGUGCUAUAGGUCUGUCAGUUUCUGCACCUGUAGUCACACAGCUAUAAAAUCUGUAUUAACUCUUAUGGAUUGUAUAACAGUUUUUGGGUUGUUGUUUUUUUUUGGGGGGGGGGGGUGGGGAGGGGGAGGGGAGGAAGAGAGACAGAGUCCAAAUAAUCAAGACUAGAGGCAAUCAUCUAAUUUGCAUGAGGUCUCCUCUUUCCUGGAAGUUCCAUAACUUGCUGACAAGAACAUUUCCUCUCUUCAGCUUUUUUGGUUUGAGCUGCAGGCUAGCAUUUGCUCUCUGAAGUGGUCUGCCUGUUAUAGAAGCUAUAGCCACAGCCUUGUGCUGAAUCAGGUUCUUUAAGAUUAAUGGUAAGGUUGGCAUAAGUAAGUAAAUGCAGAUCUAGUUUCCCCACAGCCAUCAACAUCUACUGUUGUAGUUCUUUGAAAUUUUCUCAGAACAUUACGGAUGCUUAUUUUGCCCAAUUUAAAAAGAGCACAGUGUAAGUCUUUGGAAAAAAUAAUGUAAUAUUUUCUGUUUCUAUUUUCUGUUUUCAAAUAUGUGGUGACACAUACACAAAACUCUAUUAAUACGAAUAUGCUAUGUUGGUGGGAGGAUAUUUUUAAAAGGUAAUAAAAUAUCAAGACAAAGAUCA